CUGAAGCCAUGAGCUCCGUAAAUACCCGACGAAAGCGUCCCUCCUAUUGUUCCGGAAAGCGCAGCGGCUCGAAGCGCGAGAGAGAGGGUUCGGAGAUCGGAGAAGGCUCGAGAGCGUCACCUCGACAAUGAGAGCGAAGUGGAAGAAGAAGCGAAUGAGGCGACUCAAGAGGAAGCGCAGAAAGAUGAGGCAGAGAUCCAAGUAGCUGGACCAAAGCAAGUACCACCACCUCUGGAGUAGUAGUCGUAGUAAUUUGAGUCUGCCAUUAGUUCCUUUUAGUUUAUCAGGAUAAUUGAGUUUGAUAAAGACAUUUUUGUCUUGCAAUGCGAACCUUACAUUUGGAACUUA